AUUGAACGCUGGCGGCAGGCUUAACACAUGCAAGUCGAACGAGUGGCGGACGGGUGAGUAAUGUAUGGAAAACUGCCCAGUGGAGGGGGAUAACUACUGGAAACGGUAGCUAAUACCGCAUACCAUCAGAGGUGCCCAGAUGGGAUUAGCUUGUUGGUGGGGUAAAGGCUCACCAAGGCAACGAUCCCUAGCUGGUCUGAGAGGAUGACCAGCCACACUGGGACUGAGACACGGUCCAGACUCCUACGGGAGGCAGCAGUGGGGAAUAUUGCACAAUGGGGGCAAGCCUGAUGCAGCCAUGCCGUGUGUAUGAAGAAGGCCUUCGGGUUGUAAAGUACUUUUAGCGGGGAGGCGUUACCCGCAGAAGAAGCACCGGCUAACUCCGUGCCAGCAGCCGCGGUAAUUC
rnacentral:rRNA from 1 species